rnacentral:ncRNA from 1 species
GUGUUCGUUGAGCCGAGAGACGGUUAGCAUCUCCCUCGACAAGGACGGGAUUGCACCCCUACAGGUGUAUCCAAACCACCUGGAUGGUUUAAGCUCUGUCUUCAUGACAUCUAGCCCAUUUUUUU